GUGAGUCAUCGAAUCUUUGAACGCACCUUGCACCCUUUGGUAUUCCGAAGGGUACACCCGUUUGAGUGUCAUUGUAAUCUCACUUCAAUAACUUUUGAAUGUGGACUUGGAUGUUGUCGUGUUCAACGACUCGUCUUAAAUGCCUGAGUGUACCCUGCUUUGCAGCGUAUCAGUGUGAUAAACAUCUUCACUGUCAAGUCUUUUGAGACACGCUUGUGCUGUGGUCUCUAUGCUUCAAACUGUCUUUGGACAAUUUCUGACAAUUUGACCUCAAAUCGGGUGGGACUACCCGCUGAACUU
rnacentral:misc_RNA from 1 species